GAGGAUAUCUUGCUGUUCCAAAGAACAAGGCAGAGAAUAUUGCCCUUUCAAGAAUUAUGAUAAAACUACGCCAUACGAAUGUGUUUAUUGGGUUUUUUCGUAAGAAAAGCGACAAUAAAUUCUACACAGUUCAAAAUUUCAAGCCCACUUUCACAUUAUGGCAUUAUGGAGAACCUAGUAACAGAAGAUUUGGUGUAGAAGAUUGUGUUGUAAUUCAUCCCAGAAAAUUUAACUUCCGGUGGAAUGACGCUACAUGUGGGUAUCACUUCAAUUUCAUCUGUCAACGCAAGAGACCUAAUUUAAACUAUAUCGGAGGAUGUCAGUCUUUUCCUUGUGGCAAAAAACACUCAUGUAUGAAUAUCCCAGGCUCCUACGAAUGCCUAUGCUCCAUUGGAUACAAACCUGACAAAUCUAAAAUGAAAUGUAUCGGCAUAUACAGACAACGGCGUCGGCUUUGGAAUCGGCGUCGGCGCAUUGGGCCAUUGAGGAGAUUGCCUUUGAUUGC